AAGCAGCAUAUACUGUGACAGUGUAAACUAGACUAAGCUCCCCAUGUGAGCAUUAAAGCAGCUAGCUGAGCUAUUGCUAGCAUGGACACAGAAGUAGGCAACCACUGAACUGGUUACACAUUGUAACACCAGGACUUGGUGUGAAUUCAUGCCUCUUAAUGAGUGAACUAAAGAUUCUUUUGAUUCUGUUUCAGACCAGUGCGAAACUCAUAGUUUGAUUUGACUUCAAUAUGAGCACAGGUGAGACUUGAUGGAUUUGACUGAAUUUUGCCUUGAAAGCUGGUGUUGGUAUUUUUUUUUUUUCCCUAAGCCAAGUAAAGGCAUAGUAGAAAUGUGUAAAAUAUUUGCUUCUGUGACUGUAAAUAUCCAAUCUUGGGCUCUGGCCUUUGCAAACUGAACUGUGGGUUUGCGGUUUGGUGCAUUUGCAGACCUCAGGCCAUGCUAAGAAAAAUUCAGCAAACACAGGCUGGGAUUGUUGGCGUUGCUGGGAAGUCAUCAGAUCUCCCUCAUCCCACCUCCUUCCUUCCUCCCUCGCAAGGUCUGAGCCUCCUGAAGGUAUGUAUGCAUGGGAGCACUAGAAAGUGCAGGGAGGCUUUAAAUGUGAGGAAGAUUUUAUUUGGGAGUCAAUGAUUUGGUUUGAGAACGAAGGGCUAAGCUCACACACUCAUGUUCCUCUACAGCAGGAGUUAAAAUCCUAGUGAAAAAACCGAUUUGCUCUUAGCAGAAAAGCUAAUCACUAAAAUAUUUCUUUUUUACUUCCACAACAUGAGUCACACAGAUGGAGCUGAGAAGCAGACUGCAACCUUCAUCUGCCCAUGGGGACUGUCCCCAUCUAAGAAAGGCACGUUUCCUGCAGAGCAUCUCACCGGCCCAUCUACUGCGCGCCUCUGGCCACUGACAGAGGAUGUCAAACAUUACAAACUGGGGACCAGCUCUGGGUCAGAGGAAAAGAUCUGUAACUGCUUCCCUCGUCGCCCAGUGCACAUUCAUGGAAUGGCUGCUCCUGGCGGGCGAAGGCUGGUUUCACCGUCCUAUUAAUUUUACUGUGACAAUUCACUGUCUGUGCCACCCGUCAUUUGGACAAAGGGAUAUUCUCAUGACACCUAACCUCGCCACUGCGGGGAGCAGAAGCUUGUCCAUUCAUUUUGAGGAAGAAGCAACAGAAGCAAUAUAGGAGCAAAUACUUCCAUAACGAGCACUCCUUAAAAACUUGUAUUAGUGUGUUCAAUGGAAUCACUGGAAAGAAAGAAAUGUCUUUUACACUAGUCUGGAAGGUAUGAGUAUGAAACAGAUCUUCAUAAAGAAUUAAAUCUUUGAAAUCAGAGCUUCACUUUGGCCAUAACACUUAUAUAAGAAAUGGCCACUUAAGAGCUAGGUUUUUGACACCAUCAUAAAUAAAUCUGUGGCUGAGGAACGCUACUGAGUCACAGGCAGAGCUGGAAAAAAUAUGGAAUCUAGCCCUGUUUGUGUCUUGCUAAUUUUAUACACAUCUAUCCAGUGGCAGAAUGAUUGAUGUCAUCUGUUUUUGACUCAUGUCAUUUUAGCUCCAGGAAUAACAAAAUAGAAAUGCUUCUAUGAUUUAGGGAGAUUUGUUUGGUUAUGCUAUCAGCACUGUUUCUGUAAUGGCAAAAGAAAUGUUAGCAUUAAAAAUAAUUACAAGGUUAAAAGAAACUCCAUGACCUAAAUUAGUGGAUGCACUGUGUUAUCUACAGAAGGAAGAACUGGGUGUGUUAUGUACUGUGCUCAAGGCUAACUAAAUUCCUUAGCUUUAGAUAGUUUAGCAUUAAUUACCUGUAAUUAUUUUGGUCCUUUCAUUGAGAUUUAUGUUGGUCUGAAUCAUCAUUUAAAACCUAAUUAGAUCAGCUAUUUCCUUUUCUCUUAGUCCUGUUCAAUGAUGAGUUUGUUCUCAUUUUCUUCAUAUUUGGAUAUUAACCUUUUAAAUGUUUGCAAAAAUCUCUGGAGAAGAGGAAUUUGCAUGAAACAAAGUGACAUGACUGGCUGCAGUUCACUGAUUUCUGAGACAUUUUAUGUGCUCAAGUGACUAGAUUUUCCAAAGUAUUUAGAGUUCUUGCUUGAUGCCCAGCCUUACAGCUCCCUAGUAUCCUCAGUUCAAUCCUCAUGUCAGAGCAAAAAAUGAUGGCUAUUAUAAUUGCAGGACUAAUACUAAUUAAUAGCUGUCACGGUUGUAAAGGGAAUUUUGACUGCACAACUAAAGGAUU